UACGGAGGGGGCUAGCGUUGUUCGGAAUUACUGGGCGUAAAGCGCGCGUAGGCGGACCUGCAAGUCGGGGGUGAAAGCCCGAGGCUCAACCUCGGAACUGCCUUCGAUACUGCGGGUCUCGAGUCCGGGAGAGGUGAGUGGAGUUCCUAGUGUAGAGGUGAAAUUCGUAGAUAUUAGGAAGAACACCAGUGGCGAAGGCGGCUCACUGGCCCGGUACUGACGCUGAGGCGCGAAAGCGUGGGGAGCAAACAGG
rnacentral:rRNA from 1 species